UGGGGAAUUUUGGACAAUGGGCGAAAGCCUGAUCCAGCAAUGCCGCGUGUGUGAAGAAGGCCUUCGGGUUGUAAAGCACUUUUGUCCGGAAAGAAAUCCUUGGCUCUAAUACAGUCGGGGGAUGACGGUACCGGAAGAAUAAGCACCGGCUAACUACGUGCCAGCAGCCGCGGUAAUACGUAGGGUGCAAGCGUUAAUCGGAAUUACUGGGCGUAAAGCGUGCGCAGGCGGUUUGCUAAGACCGAUGUGGAAUCCCCGGGCUCAACCUGGGAACUGCAUUGGUGACUGGCAGGCUAGAGUAUGGCAGAGGGGGGUAGAAUUCCACGUGUAGCAGUGAAAUGCGUAGAGAUGUGGAGGAAUACCGAUGGCGAAGGCAGCCCCCUGGGCCAAUACUGACGCUCAUGCACGAAAGCGUGGGGAGCAAACAGGAUUAGAUACCCUGGUAGUCCACGCCCUAAACGAUGUCAACUAGUUGUUGGGGAUUCAUUCCUUAGUAACGUAGCUAACGCGUGAAGUUGACCGCCUGGGGAGUACGGUCGCAAGAUUAAAACUCAAAGGAAUUGACGGGGUCAUAGCUGUUUCCU
rnacentral:rRNA from 1 species